ACCAGCAGCCAUAUCACUCUACAACUCACAACUGAUACCCCACUGAAGCUCAGCAGGUGUGAGCCUGGUCAGUACCUGGAUGGGAGAUCUCCUGGGAAAAACUAAGGCUGCUGCUGGAA
rnacentral:rRNA from 1 species